GCGGGCGCGGGGUGCCGGCAUGCGGCCGGCCGGCGCGGCGGCGGCUGCGGGGCUGCUGGGGGCGGCGGCCGCGGGCGCGGCGAAGCUGGCACUGGGGGCGCGUCCCCUGAGCGGCGGGGAGGCGGCCGGCGGCUGGGUAAGGAAGGAGGAAGCCGGAGCGGGCGGGCUCCCGCCCUAAGUUACCGUCUGCGGCCUCUCCCAGUCGGCUCCGGGCAGGCGCUGCGCGGCCUGUCGCGGUUCGCAUCUGAUGGAGAAGUGCAGGCGGGCUCCUCGUGCUCCAGCGGGUGCCGCUUUGCUCUUUCUGCCCUGUCCGCGGGACGAGCCGCAGACUGCCGUGUCCCUCCCCUUCCCCGUAGGGCUGCUGCGCGGCACCCGUCACAGCGCUCCGUGUCCUCACCGUGGAGAUGUGCUAAACGUUUGGGGUACAGGGAGACGCUGAGGUCAGCGGGUGUCUGGGAAACGCAGCAAGAGAUUCCGUGUGUCUGAGAGUGGUAGGAAGGAGAAUGAACGUUCUGAAUCCAGGUGCUCUCUGGUUCCCUCCGAAAGAUUCUGCUCUGCACUGUCAAAAAAGUAAAGCAUGGUGAAGGGGCCUGGGCACCCCUAAUGUGGGGAGUAACUGAGAGCUGGGACCGCUCAGCUGGAGAGGAGGAGGCUCGUGGGGGUGUCAUCCCCAUCCAUAAACCCUGACCCCUUCCCCUGACACAGCUCCAUGCCGUUCCCUCGGGCCCUGUCGCUGUCACACAGAGCAGAGCUCAGCGCUGCCCCUCCGCUCCCUGUGAGGAGCUGCGGCCGCCAUGAGGCCUCCCCUCAGCUCCCCUGCUCUGGGCUGAGCAAACCAAAGAACUUCAGCUGCUCCUCGUACUCUCUGCCCUUCAGACCAUUCCCCAUCUUUGUAGCCCUCCUUUGGAUGGUCUCGUAGUUCCGUGUCCAUCUUAGAUUGUGUUGCCCAGAACUGCACUCAGUGCUGGAGGUGAGGCCGCAGAGCACAGCGGGACAACCCCUUCCCUCAGCCGGCUAUCAGUGUGGGCCUGAUGCACCCCAGGUCCGACCACGUUGGACGAGGAGAACUCCAGAGGCAGAACUCCAGAGCUCAGCCGUGCUCUAAUCCUGUGACUACGUUUAAAGUUUGAGUUUUGCAUUUGAGGAAGAACUGCAGAAAUCUAGAAAUGCGCCUUAAAAAGCUGCCGACGCUUGUAUAGCAUGGGAAGUGGUAGAUGUUAAGUGUACUGGUGCUUCUGAGAGGUGGUGACACAGAGCUUCAGGAUGCUCAAUAGCCUCACAGAGACAGAUCUCCAGGGCAGACGGAUGUGUGCUGGCCCCACCUGAGAGCGACCUCACCACGAGGGGUCAUUUUGCCUGAACAAAGCCUUUUCUUUACUUUCCCCUCUCUCUUGCCAACCUCCGUCUAAAUAUGCUUCUGCCACUUCAGCGGUGAUUCUGGAUUAUCUGGAAUGUACACUGAAUUAAUCUCGUCUUAGAAAAGCAAUCAGAAGAGUAAUCUUUGACUCACUGGGCUGGCUCUGCUGAGCCCUUUGCAGGGAAGGAAUUACACCUCCGUCCUUCCUUGUGGGAAGCACACGGGGAUGUUCCCAUCUCUGCACUGCAUGCUAUUGCCAUGAUCGUUCUUCUGCCUGGGAUGCAGAAGGAUUCACCCUCUCUGGAAAACCUUCCUUUGGGCAUGUGCCACCUCCAGAGCAUGCUACAGCUGAGUUCAUUGCUCUACAGUAGAAGUUCAGCGGUGGAGUUGUUUUUGAAGACAGCCAGCUUCGUUCCAAGGCUUGUAGGCUCAUGGACUAACCCGGGUCAGGCAGCCAAAGGUCUCUUGUUCAGCCCCAGCAGGGCUGGCUGAUUGCUCAUGGCCUUCUUCAGUCAAGCUUGGAACACCUCCAAGGUUACAGAACCUGCAGCCUCUGCUUCAGUGCUUUUGUUUUCCCUUGUGUUGUAUCAACAUUUCCCCUUUCCUAACCUAGACUAACUGCCCUUUGUCAUACCCCAAUGUAACACACUGAGGAGCCUGGCUCCACCACCUCUUCACCUUCUCGGUGGGUAGCUGGAGACAGUAAUGAGAUCUUCUUAUCUUAAGGCCCUUUCUCCUCACAGUCUGUCUUGAUAGGCUCUUUUUGAUCCAGAGAAGAAUAUACUGAAUUUUUAUAAAACAUAGAGAUAUUUUUCAUAUCUUUCAAAUCUACCUGACCUCUGGUGGCCUACGUGGACACACCGAGCUGCCCUGGCCAAGGCAAAAUGUCCAUUAAUCCAGGCAGAGGGAGAGGCCACGUGUAAGAAGCUGUCCGGAAGGCAAUCCCCAUCCUUCAGCGACCCAUGGCAUAGCAGCAGAUUUCUUCCUCGAAGGACCGGUGCGUCUGGGUCUGGCUGACCCUGUGAUCCCUCUCGGCAGGGUUUGCCAGGGCGGUGAUGUGUUGGUGUAAAGGGCCUCAUGCCGCAAAGCAUUCCACAGGUGGGAAUUGUUUGGGAAUGUUUGCCAUUGCCUUGAUAAAGUUAGAGGACUUUGCUACCAAUGGGGCAAAAUGAGGCCAAACACGUGAACUCUGUGGGAUUGGGGUUAACCUUGGAGACCUUGUGCCAGCCAUCAAGGAGGGUUUUGGUUUUGUUUUGAUGUGACAGAAGGAAAGGAUGCCACCCAAAGGGACCUUGACUCACUAGAAAGGUGGACCCACGUGAACCUCACUGUGGUUCAACAAAGCCAAGUGCGAGGUGCUGCACUUGGAUUGAGGUAAUCCCAGGUAUGUGUACAGACUGGAAGAAGAACUCACUGAGAGUAGCCCUGCUGAGAAGGACUUAGAGGUCCUGGCAGAUGAAAAGUUUGACAUGAGCCAUCAGUGUGCACUUGUAGCCCAGAAGGCCAACAGUACUGUGAGCUGCAUCAGCAGAGGGGUGGCCAGCAGGGAGUGACUCCCUCAGUGUUUGCAGGAGUUAUUCUGCCUGCGACGUCAUCCCUUGGGGCCUUCACAUCAACUGCACAACACUGAGAGGUUAGGGAAUGGGCCACAGCAGCUUGAACAGUGGAUAUUGGGUAGACUGCAAGAGUUAAAGAGUUUUUAGGCAAAGCUGUGCUCUUACACAGUGCUGAUGUGCAGCAGCAUUCCAGUCUGACAAGGACAAAUAUGACCCUUCUCCAUAUGUCUGGUGAUGGACAGGCACUUCACUGCAUGGUGUGUGCACCAAGUUGUGAGGCCAGGAGCUUUCUGGCCUUUGGCAGCUGCUGUACACUGUCCCAGCACUUCUCGGCUUGUACUGUGAGGCUGGAUUCACGGUAAGAUGCCUCAGAGCCAUGCUCCAUCCAGGGCUGUUUUCUUGUUCCUGUUGCCUUCUGUAAUGUAAUACAUUCAUCUUCAUGUAAUACCAUCUGUAACUCAGUUUCAAGCCCUCGCUACUUCAGUUUCACUCCGAAGUGUCCAUGUUAUAGUGAGGCUUCAUAAGUAGUCAGUGAAAAUAAUCAGGCUUUUCCCUUUUGUCCCGCAGCUGCCUGUGCUACUCCACGUGGGCUGCAUUGGCUUGGUGUGUGCAUGCAAUGCAGUAAUGUGGACAGUCUUUGCAAAAGCCCUGCGACUGUCCUCCUCCUCAGCCUCUGCCUCUGUGACCACAACGGCCUCCAACUUCAUCUCUUCGGCCAUCCUGGGCAAGCUUCUCUUUGGGGAGACAUGGACACCACUGUGGUGGGUUGGCCUCACUGUGACGCUCUGUGGCCUUGUGCUGCUGCACACUGCUGCACCCCAGCCGACACUGCACAUGGUGGAGAAGAAGGGGUUGUGACAUCUCUCCUUUCUCCAUUUCCAGCUUGGAUAAUGCUUCAGCUAUUGCCACCUCCAGGUCCCAACCAGGUCCUCACACCAUGCACUUUCUCGGUCUCCUCAUUCUGUGCCAGAGCCUACUGAGUGCUGUCAGACCUGCCCAGCUCCCUUGCACCUUUCUCCAUCAGUCUGCAAAGUUGUGCAGGUUGCAUUUUCCAUGGUUGGCCAGGGCAGCCAUUCCGGGUGCCUGGUGGAGGUGUGGCAACAGUGACAACCUGAGGGAAAGCUGAUCAGUCUGAGUCAGUUCUCUAGAAACCAGAGCCAGAACUUAUCAGCCACCCCUCCUCUUCACACCCUGUGCUGAUGGAGCCUUGCCAGUGCCAGGACGGGAGGGAUAAAGUAAACAUAGUGGCUGUGGAAGGUGACCGUACGUUGGUACUUUUCCAUAAGAGGAACCAUCCCAAAAUGGAAAAGCAACCAGAACCAGGCACUGAAGGUUGUGGACAUUUCUGCCCUGCUGGUGGUGAUUUUCCUUGCUGCCUCUUGGAGAGGCCUCAUGCUUGCUCCAGGUUCCUAUUGUCUGGAAAGCGGUGGAGCAUUCCAUUAAUUCCUUUGGCUGCCUCUAUCACACACACCUUUUGACUUGCCAUUACGUCUGUUGCCUGUAAUUCCCAGUUUCCCAUUCCUGACGUGUUGCUCACUGUAAGGGGUUGCUUUUUCCUUUAAACUCUUAACCAGCACUGAUUUUUUAUUGCUAUUUCUGGUUAGUGUAUGUCAUACUGUAAUAUGGGGAGAACACCAUGCCAUCAGCCAGCCCUCUUCAUUAUGAGUGACCGUGAUGUACACUCAUCACUUGAGCUGACAAUUGCUUUAAGUAAAAAUGGUUUUUCUCAGGCAACAUUUUUUUUCACUUCUGGAUGGUGCUAUUUUCCAUUUGUGCAAUGUAAUUAAAUAAAUCUCUGGUUCCCUCUCGUGCUAAAUUUUGGGUAAGUGAUUACUCGUUGUUGCCAGAAUGAAAUGCUUGCCAGUAUGUUACACGUGGCAAGAAUCAUCAUUUACAAGGUGUUGGUUUCUUUCCCCUGCCUGCACGCACUUGUUUUCCAUGGUAAUUUUUGAUUGCAAUCCUAAUAAAGAAUCAUAAUGAUGCCUAAAAAUGUAUGCAUCAUGCUGGUGAUACCAUUUGUUUGCUCUGGGCUUGCCAAGUUGUGUCUUCUUGUAACUGCAGUAAGUGAGUCACAGUCAUGGCAUGUGCAGAAAACCCAAGGACACGUUUGUGUGAGCCUCAUUAUCAGGACCUGUCAUGCUUGUAUUAGCUGGCAGAUCAGCUCCGUGCCCAACAGGAUUGUAAAAAUAGACUUGUAGGUGGAAAUGCAACUGGAGUUGGAUUUGUGCCUUUUCCUUCUUGAUAUCAGAUAGUUACAAAGUCGCUGUCCCCUUGCUGUAAGUCCCCUGCUUCAAGGGAGUGCCCUCACUCAUGGCACUUGCCACCUGUGUCCUGAGAGGCCGCUUUGCUUUUCCCCCUUACUGUGCUCAUAAGUCUUUUCGUCCAAGAAAGCAGCAUUGGUGGGAAAGGGGACAGAGUGCUCCCAAUGCCUAUUCCUAAUAAAUGUGGAGAAGGCUUUUUGGAGGCCAGCGAGGACAGAUUGAGUGGGAUAUGUCCGUUGGCCUUGGAGGCAGGGCCAUGUUGCACUGAGAGACAGACAGAGGAGAGGUGUUUCUUAUUUGAUUAGGCUGGCUGGUAACUGGCGAUGGAUUGGUUUGAAUUGGCUUAAUUCACAUGUGCUAGACAAGCGGAAAGGCAAACAUUGGCCAGCUCUGUCUGACACAGGAUCUGCUGAGCUGCCAAUGAGCUGCCAUGACUCAGGGCAUUAGAAAGGAAGUUGCUGCAGUCAAUGGCUGAAACAGCAGCAAGCCUAGGGCAGCCCUUGCUCCUGCACGCUUGAACCCCUCGGUGGGAGCAGAAAACAGCUGCUAGGAGCUAAGAACCAUCAUCAUCCCUUGUCUGUCUGCAGAGCUGUCAACCAAGAACUGGCUUUUUCCAAGCCUAUGAAAUCUCAUUAGACCUUCACAUGUGACUGAGAAAUAACGAAGGCUACAAGCCUAGUUUGUUUACUCUGGUGUGUUGCUUCAAAGUAUGACUGGCUCCCAGCCAGCUAUAAGCCUUCAAGCAAGUGGCCGGAGAAAGACCAGGCUGGCAGUGGUUGAGAUAUCUGGUCUGUGGAUAGCCACAGUGCCCACAGCACUGGUUGAGAUAUCUGGUCUGUGGAUAGCCACAGUGCCCACAGCACUGUGCGACGCGUCCACCUUGUGCCUUGCUCCUUGCCCUUGGCUCAGUGUGCACAAAAUCUCCAAAGCAAAAUGUGGAAUUUACACUGCAUCCUUCCAGGCUCUGAGGAAACCGUAUCCCGAUUCUCACCUGGCAUUGCCCAUGAGUAAGGACUUCUACCAAAUGAGCGUCAAGCUCACUUCUAAGUCCAGUGCUAGGCGGAGGAACAAGAAGUUUAUUCUUCCCUAUUACUUUUUGAGCUCGUUGGUUAAUUUGAUUGUUGCUGCCCUUCCUUUUUCAUAGUUCAAAACUGCUAGUUCUUCAUUUCAGAAUCAUUGCAUGCAAGGUCUAGGAGAUGUUCGUACAUCCACAGAAAGCAUGGGCAACAUUUUCCUUUGUGAUACUUUGAAGACAGAAUAAGAU
rnacentral:lncRNA from 1 species